rnacentral:lncRNA from 1 species
ACGCUAACCAUGCCUAGGAAGGAAAGGAGUUGUUGUUUUGUAGAAGGUGCUGGGGUUUGAGAGAUCAGUCAGACACGAUUGGCAGGGAGAGCACGUGUGUUUUUAUGAGAAUUAUGCCGAGAUAGGUAACAGAUGAGGAUGAAAUUUGGGCUUGAUUGAAGUAAUGGAGGCUGUCUGUGAAGCUUUGCAGCAGUACAGCCUUGGUAAUUUGCUGAGCCUAAUGGGUGUCAGGGUCAGUCCAAGUGAAAGCAAAGAGAGGCUGGAACGAGGGGUGCAGGGGAAUAGUGAAAAAAGCAUCUUUAAGAUCAGGCACGGAAUAGUGAGUUGUGGAGGAAGGUAUUGAGGACAAAAGAGUGUAUGGGGUUGGGCACCACAGGGGGGAUAGGCAAAACAAUUUGGUUGAUAAGGUGCAGAUCCUGAACUAACUUGUAAGGCUUGUCUGGUUUUAGGACAGGUAAAAUGGGGGAAUUGUAAGGAGAGUUUAUAGGGUUUAAAAGGCCAUGCUGUAGCAGGCGAGUGAUAACAGGCUUUAAUCUUUUUAAAGCGUGCUGCGGGAUGGGAUAUUGGCGUUGAGUGGGGUAAGGGUGAUUAGGUUUUAAUGAGAUGGUAAGGGGUGCAUGAUCCGUCGCCAAGGAGGGAGUAGAGGUAUCUUAUACUUGUGGGUUAAGGUGGGGGGAUACAAGAGGAGGACGCAAAGGAGGCUUUGGAUUGGGAAGAAGGGCGGCAAUGAGAUAUAGCUGUAGUCCAGGAAUAGUCAGGGAAGCAGAUAAUUUAAAGUGUCUCAGCCUAAUAAGGGAACUGGGCAGGUGGGGAUAACUAAAAAGGAGUGCUUAAAAGAGUAUUGUCUAAGUUGGCACCAGAGUUGGGGAGUUUUAAGAGGUUUAGAAGCCUGGCCGUCAAUACCCACAACAGUUAUGGAGGCAAGGGAAACAGGCCCUUGAAAAGAAGGUGAUGUGGAGUGGGUAGCCUCCGUAUUGAUUAAGAAGGAGACGGGCUUACCUUCCACUGUGAGAGUUACCUGAAGCUCGGCGUCUGUGAUGGUCUAGGGGGCUUCCGAGGCGAUCGGGCAGUGUCAGUCUUCAGCUGCUAAGCCGAGAAGAUCUGGGAAGGAGUCAGUCAGAGAGCCUUGGGCCAGAGUUCCAGGGACUCUGGGAGUGGCUGCCAGCAGGCCCUCAGCCUAGCGGUGCAGAGAGGACAUGGAUCUUCCCGAGAUGCCCACAGUCUAUGAGAGAGAAAGACCAAGAAACCGCUGGAGGACUGGGUGAGCAGUGCUCUGAACCGGAGAGGGGUGUCCGACUCAGGAAAGACACUGUGAAGGAGGCCUGGCAGGUUCUAUUUUUGAAGGUCUGGGCAGGGACCAAGGCCCAGCAAGUGUAGCCAAAUCACACAGCUUCAUCUGCCUUCCCUGGCCUUGAUCACCACCACCCUUCCUGCUCCCUCCUCUUCUCCCUCCUGGAAGAAUGGGUCCUGUCUUCAGGCCCUGAGCAUCACUCCGGAGAGUGAGACAGACAGACAGACAGACAGACAGAGAAAGAGAGGUGGAGGCUGAGAGCAAGAACAACUCUGCUGGACCUUGGAAUCAGAGAGAUUUAUUCCAUCUCUCCUAAAUUUGAAAUAUUUUUCCUGGGUUCUCUCCUUGGGAACGCUUAUGUGUAGGAUUAAUUUAUGACUAGAUCCCAAAUGAAAACAGUUCCUAAGCCCAACACCCAAUAAAGUCCCCAUUGAGUUUCUUCUCACACUUCCUCCCCACCUGGCAGGCGAGGCCGCUGGCUCUGGUGUGUGUUCUGAGCUCACUGCAGGCCGGCCACUCUCUGGGGCACCACUUCUGUCCUGUGCCUGGCUCUGUCCACAGCACAGGCCCCAGUGUCCGCCCCAGCGUACUGCCUUGCUCACAAAUGCUCGUUUGCCUUCCGUUCUUAAUUUAUAAACUGUUUUUCAAACUUGUUGGCUGUGGGCUUUGAUCCUGGGGCUGUGAGUCCCAAGCGGCCAGGCACCAGGCAUCCACUGAAGCAGGCUGUGUCCACAGCACCCAAACAGGCUGGUCCUGGGACUCACUGGCUUGGAAGAUCAGAACUGAAAAGACCUUGGAAAUCACCUCAUUUUACAGAGAAGGAAACUGAGAUAAACUAAAUGAAGAUCAAGUCUGAAAGUCAUUCACUUUGUCAUCUGUUGGCUCUACCUUUGACUCAAGUGCCAGCCUCUUCAUCUCUCUCCUGGAUUCCUAUAAUACCUUCUCAGCUUCGGCUGUCAUUUCCCCUCCACACACAGCCAGCAUGAGUGACUGCAAAAUCAAAGUCCUGAGCUGGUCUCCCCACUCACUCAAAGGCCCUGUAGGACAGUGUCCCUCUGUGAUGGCAUAGCCACGCUGGCCUCUUGGCUGUUCCUCAGAUAUCCCAUGCUGCUGCCACCUUGAGCACUUGCUGGUUUAUCUGCCUGAUUCAAUGCUCUUCUCCCGACAUUUAUCCACAUGGACCCAUCUGCAAAGUUCUCAAGUUUCUGCUCAGAGUCACCUCAUCAGGUUGGUGACAACCUUAUUUAAAAUAGCUCUUCUUCUCCAUAUCUCCUUGCCUGACUUCAUUUUUAUCAUAGCAAUUGUAUUGAUUUGUUUUGUUGUUUAUUGUGUGUCUCCCUAUUCUAGAAUGUAAGCUCCUUGAGGACAGGGACUUGUCUGCUUGACUUGUUUCUAUCAGGGUGUCAGGACAGGGCAUAUGGUAGGUGCUUAAUAAAUAUGUGUGGGUGAAUGGACAAUGAUUCAUGGAUGAUAUCCAGAGGGUAAUGGUGAUUGCCAGUCAUGGGCAUAUGGCAUUUUGUUUUACAAUAUUUUUAUACAUAUGGGAUAUUAUUAUUAUUAUUUUUGAGACAGAGUUUCGCUCUGUCACCCAGGCCAGAGUGCAGUGGCAUGAUCUUGGCUGACUGCAGCUUUGACUUUCCAGUCUCACACAAUCCUCCCACCUCAGCCUCCCAAGUAGCUGGGACUACAUGCAUGCACCACCAUGCCUGGCUAAUUUUUUAAAUUUUUGGUAGGGCUAGGGCUUCACUAGGUUUCUCAGGCAGGUCUCAAACUCCUAGGCUCAAGUGACCUUCCUACCUAAGCCUCCCAAAGUGCUGGGAUUACAGGGAUGAGCCACCAGGCCCUGCCAAUACUAUUAUUUUUGUUGCUUCAUGAUACGUUUUAGAAAUCUUUUAUGUUAGUUAAAUGGAAAACUGUCUUGUUCUUUUUGACUGCUACAUACCAUUCCUCAGUGUGGGUGUACCGUGAUGUAACCAUUCCCUCCUUAGUAGUCCUUGUUUGCAAUUUUUCUAUUUUAUUUCAUUGCAAAUAGAGCUUUGAGAAACACCUUUGCACAUGUGGUUUUGGGGACAUGCAUUAUCAUUUCUUUCAUGUUGAACUCCUUCAAGUGAAAUUUCCAGGUGUAAGUCACAGCUGCCCAAUAGCUUUCUGCAAU